rnacentral:lncRNA from 1 species
CUUGCUUAGACCUAACUUGUUUAGAAAGGAUAUUUUCUCUUAAUCUCUAAAAUUAUACUUUUCUAAAUAUUUUCUGCUUCUCAAGUGGCAUCCGCUUCCAACACCCACCUGCCCCACAUGCACACCCAAAUGAACAAAAAUGAACAGAAUCUAACUUGCUAGAGGAAAAACAAAGCAUCUGAUCCAUUUGAAAAAAAAAAAAAAGAGCCAAAUUUGCCAGCAAAUGUGUGGGAUUUAUCCAGACUGUCCAGAAUUAGAUCUGAACCUACACAUUUUGAAAUUGCAUCCAUGUAGAAGCAAAUCCACGUGUGAGUACAGGCUGGUGAAAUGUGUGAAAGGAUUGGAAGUGAAGAAUAAUAGCAUGAAAGCAGCAAGUAACUCUCAACACUCCCAAAGAUUGGAUAAGUUGCCACCUUUCUCUAAAUAUAGGACCAAGCUUGAAAAUUGUACAAAUACUCUCAAGAUAGUGUUUUGCAGGCAUUUACUGCCAACAGGGCAUCCAUCCAAAGGAUAAUCUUAUCCUGCAAUUUGAGCCUGAAUGUGGGGCACAGAUGAGGACUUUCACUAAGGAUGGGGGUAAAAUGGGGCUCUCCCCAAAGUUUAUACCUCUCCAAAGAAGGGAAGAUGGGCCAAGGUGAUAGAAGACCCCACUCACUUAUUUUGAGCUAUUUCCUGCUAUUGGUGAAUGUAGUACCAGGACAGGGCUAGCAAUCAGCAGUCAGGUUAACCUGAGCCCAGGUGGGCUCCUGUGCAAGAAGUGGCUGGUUCAAGGGUACUCAUGACAAAGAGUUAAAGCAACUGGAGGAUAUAGGGGUUAAGCAGAUAAGGCAGAAAUGAGACUAUGGAGGUGCAUGUGAGUGUAUGAGAGCUAAUGAGCAACAGAGUUUCCUGUCUCAUUCUGGGUGGCAGCAGCUGUUGCUGAUCCAGGCCCCAAAGUUAAAGGCAGGCAUUGGG